GUACUCAAGUAGCACAUAUACUAAAAGUGGAUAGAUACAGAGAUUAGAACAGCCCCUGUAAAAAGACAAUACACAAAUUCUGAAGCAUUCCAUUAUCCU
rnacentral:snRNA from 1 species